rnacentral:rRNA from 1 species
GCUCAGAAUCAACGCGGGCGGCGUGCCUAACACAUGCAAGUCGAACGCGAAAGUGGGGGCAACCCCAUGAGUAGAGUGGCAGACGGGUGAGUAACACGUGGGUGACCUACCCUUGAGUGAGGAAUAACCCCGCGAAAGCGGGGCUAAUACCGCAUAACAUCCCUGGGACAUACGUUCUGAGGAUCAAAGCCCGAAAGGGCGCUUAAGGAGGGGCCCGCGCCUGAUUAGCUAGUUGGUAGGGUAACGGCCUACCAAGGCUACGAUCAGUAGCCGGCCUGAGAGGGUGAACGGCCACACUGGAACUGAGACACGGUCCAGACUCCUACGGGAGGCAGCAGUGGGGAAUUUUGCGCAAUGGACGAAAGUCUGACGCAGCAACGCCGCGUGGGUGAUGAAGUCCCUUGGGACGUAAAACCCUGUCGGCUGGGACGAAAUGGCUCGCAAGAGCAAUUGACUGUACCAGCAGAGGAAGCCCCGGCUAACUCCGUGCCAGCAGCCGCGGUAAUACGGGGGGGGCAAGCGUUGUUCGGAAUUACUGGGCGUAAAGGGCGUGUAGGCGGCCUAGCAAGUCAGUUGUGAAAGCCCCAGGCUCAACUUGGGAAUUGCAACUGAAACUGCCGGGCUAGAGUUCAGGAGAGGAGGGCGGAACUCCCAGUGUAGCGGUGAAAUGCGUAGAUAUUGGGAGGAACACCGGUGGCGAAGGCGGCUCUCUGGACUGAAACUGACGCUGAGGCGCGAAAGCCAGGGGAGCGAACGGGAUUAGAUACCCCGGUAGUCCUGGCCGUAAACGAUGGACACUGGGUGUUGGAGGUAUUGAGUCCUCCAGUGCCGAAGUUAACACAUUAAGUGUCCCGCCUGGGGAGUACGGGUCGCAGACUG